rnacentral:rRNA from 1 species
CCUACGGGAGGCAGCAGUGAGGAAUAUUGGUCAAUGGGCGUAAGCCUGAACCAGCCAAGUCGCGUGAGGGAAGAAGGUACUAUGGUUCGUAAACCUCUUUUGUCAGGGAACAAAGGCGGGGACGAGUCCCCGGACGAAGGUACCUGAAGAAAAAGGAUCGGCUAACUCCGUGCCAGCAGCCGCGGUAAUACGGAGGAUCCGAGCGUUAUCCGGAUUUAUUGGGUUUAAAGGGUGCGCAGGCGGCCUGUUAAGUCAGCGGUAAAAUCGCGGGGCGAAACCCCGGCUAGCCGUUUAAAAUGGCGGGCUGGAGUUGGAGAGAAGUACGCGGAAUGCGUGGUGUAGCGGUGAAAUGCAUAGAUAUCACGCAGAACCCCGAUUGCGAAGGCAGCGUACCGGCUCCUGACUGACGCUGAUGCACGAAAGCGUGGGGAUCGAACAGGAUUAGAUACCCGUGUAGUC